rnacentral:rRNA from 1 species
UACGUAGGGUGCAAGCGUUGUCCGGAAUUAUUGGGCGUAAAGAGCUUGUAGGCGGUUUGUCGCGUCUGCUGUGAAAUUUCGGGGCUCAACCCCGAACUUGCAGUGGGUACGGGCAGACUAGAGUGUUGCAGGGGAGACUGGAAUUCCUGGUGUAGCGGUGAAAUGCGCAGAUAUCAGGAGGAACACCGGUGGCGAAGGCGGGUCUCUGGGCAACAACUGACGCUGAGGAGCGAAAGCUAGGGGAGCAAACGGG